rnacentral:lncRNA from 1 species
AGAGAUAUGAAAAAUCUUAAAAUAGUCAAAGUGCAACUAUAGAGACUUGAGCUUUUGUAGAUACCUAAAGAAAAUAGGAUCUCGGACCACAUAUUCUUCUUGAGACUAUCCGACGAUGAGUUGCAAGUCAGUGAAUACCCAUAGGCACUUCACACCGAGAUCUUUAGCGAUCUUUAGUCCGACUAUUAAGGCUUCAUACUUUGCUUGGUUGUUUGAAACCUUGAAG